GUUCGGACCGGAAUAUCCGUCCCGAGGGGACCCGCCCAUUGGGCGGUAACGAGGCUUGCCGAGUUACCGCCCAUGGGCGGGUUCCCGAGGGACGGAUAUUCCGAUCCGAACCGCAAACAUAUGAAAGAUAUUUUUUCUUGCAUAUUCUGCCAUAUUAUUUCAUAUUUAAAAUGGUUUACCUCAAUAUGAUAUAUGUUCAUGGAAAUUAAAGUCAUUUCAUCCAUAACUAUUUUCUUACAUUAGCGUAUGAACUUACAACUUAAAUAACAACGGCGAAAUGACGUCAUCCUAAGACAUAUUUCCCUUCUAAAACGACGUCAUUUUAACGCGAUUCAUUCAUAAAUGGCGCUAAAAUGACGUUGUUGUUUGGCACGCGACUCAUCUGGCACCCCCCAUGCCAGAUGAAAUUUCCGGCAUGGGUAAAACUCACGGAAACGCCAGUCUGCUAUGCAAGAAAUUUAUAGUAACAAAUAUAUUAGGGGAGAUCACUGCGUAGGAGAUUUGGUUUUGUGAUCAAGCGUCUAGAGGUAUUGAGUUAAAUUUAGAAUAAAUCUUUAAACUCAGCACAUAGACCUCAUCUAAAUAAAAACCAAGGUCAAACAUUUCAUCAAGAUGGAGGCGGGUAGUCACACCCAAUCAAAUCAGAGCUUACCAGCUGCUUGGCAACAUGACAAGGCAUUGGGUGAUUGUAUGAUAAAACUGUAUGAAAACAAUCUGUGGACAGAUGUCAAGUUCCGGUGCAAAGGUCAUGACGAAAAUGAAGGUAUUCAUGCGCAUAAAAUAGUUCUUGCAGCAAGAAGUCCAGUGUUUCAAGCGAUGUUCUAUGGGCCAUGUGCAGAAGGAACCGAAGAAAUUGUACUGGAAAGUACUGAAGCAGAAACUUUUGAUUUACUCUUAAGGUACAUCUAUAUGGACAAAGUAACCUUAACCGAAGGAACUGCUGCAUCAGUAUUAGAGACAGCUCACUUCUAUCAGGUAUCAAAUCUAGUCCAGUUUUGUGCUGCCUUUUUGGCUACAUGUCUCACAACUGAGAACGUUUUAGAAAUAUUAUCGCUGGCUCAGUGUUACGAAGUUAAAUCUCUUUGUAAAGCAUGCUGCAUUUUCAUUGACCAGAAUGCUGAUGAUGUUAUUAAAUCUGAAGCCUUUCUAAAACUGACAGAAGAAAACCUCACAUAUAUCUUGAGGGGAGACACAUUCUAUGCAGACGAAGUACUUUUAUUCAAAAAGGCUGAAGAAUGGGCCCAAAGGAAAUUAGAAGAAGGCAAUGUUACAAAAAAUGGACAAAAUAUCAGACACAUUUUAGGGCUGUCAUUUUUUUACCUUAGACUACCUACCAUGACAUCCGAGAGGCUAUUGAAUUGCACUCGUAGAAAAGGGUAUAUUUCAAUAGAAGAAUAUGAAGAUAUAGUUGAUUUCAUCAACAAAGUGCCUGGCACAGCUGUUACGAGCAAUUCAUGUAUUCCAAGACUACCAAUUGAAGAACAAUGGCACUUUGCUUGCGGACAAGUAACAGACAUUUUAAGUAAUAAAAUCAAAGCAAAAUUUCAGGCACAUGUAAGCAGAAAUAUAAGGCUUAAAGCUAUUGAGCUCACAGAAAUAUAUACACAUCUGAAAUAUGAUGGGCCAUUGUAUAGCGAAAAAGAUGGUGAGAUAGUUACUGUUAGAGAUAAAAAUCUUACUCUUUCACAUGAAGGUAAAGCCAUUAAAGUACGCAAUUGCUUUAAUGAGAUUGUCGAACUCAAAACAGUUUUUGGUCAAGAUUUGCCACAUGAUGUAGACGUAUUGAUAUCGGGAAGUUUGAAAAUAACAUGCCAUGGAGAGGAAAUAGAUGAUGAGAAAUGUAAAGUAUUUGAGCAAUAUUUUAAGUUUCAUUCAACAGAUGAAGAACAACGUGUUGUCACACUUGAAGAGCCAUUCAUUCUCGAAGAAUCAUUGUCACCGUAUACGUUUACAGUAAAUCUAUAUAGGAACGCAAACCUAAUUACAAUGAAGACAGUGCGUAAAUCGGAAAACAUUUUGACAAGCAAACAUGGUGCAUUAAAGGUAAAGAACAUAAGUGGAAAUUUUGCCGGAAUACGAGGUUUCUGUUUUGAACAUAUAUCAAAUCGUGAUCAGUGUUAAGGGCACAAACAAACUCAUGAAAAAAGAUAUGGUAGAAUCAAGGGACUGAAACCUUUGCAUUUGAAAGAAAUGAGGCAAAAUGUGAAAACAAAAAGUAAAUUUAAGAUUUUGUUAUACAGUAACAGGGCUAAAAAUAAGCGUUCACCCAUGGUGACUGAAUUUGUGAAUGCACCACCAAAAAUUUCAAAAAAGUCAUCCAGUGGGCGACUUAAUGUAGAUUUAGACUGUAAAAAAAACUACUGGUGGGAUUUCAACCAAACUUUUCAGGAGUGAUCAGUACCAUCCCUAGUUGUGCACAUCAGCGGCAUGUUCCGCUCCGCUGCACAAAAUGAAAAUGGCCACCAGAGCUUAAAAUAGGAAAAUCUUGUCCACCCUUCACAAGUCAAACUACUGGUGGGAUUCGAAUUAAAACUUUACAGGAGUGAUCAGUACCAACCCUAGUUGUACACAUCACCGGCACAUUGGCUCCACUGCAGAGCUAAAAAUAGAAAAAUCUUGUCCACUCUUCACAGGUCAAAUUACUAGUGGGAUUUCAACCAAACUUAACAGGAGUGAUCAGUAUCAUCCUUAGUUGUGCACAUCAGGGGCAUGUUCCCCAUAUGCCGUCCCUAUUAUUUUCGGCGUAUUUGCCAUAUGGACCGCUUUUGCCGUUUAUAUAAUAAUAAUGAAAAGUAUAAUAAUAAUAAUUAUAACAAGAAACAUGGCAAUGCCAUGAAACCAGGUUUUCAAUUAUCACCAUUGUAGAUAAAUAUGUUGUAUUUGAAAUACAAAUACAAGCAACAAACAAUGUAACUAUGUGCAAUGUAAAACAUGAAUAAUGUAGGAGGAAUUGCCACAGAGGAAGUGUUCACUAUAAUUAUAUUCUGUAUAAGGAAAAAAAUCAAAGGGCCAUAAUUAAAUAAAAAAUUAUUCAAUCACAAAACCCCGACAAUAUGCACCAGGGCACGGGAUGACAAAGCUACAGUGAAAGUUUGAACAAAAUCCGUUGAGAAAUGUAGGAGAAGUUGCGCAUGGUAAAAAUUGUUCACUAUAUAAUCUGUAUGAGGAAAAAAAACAAAGGGCCAUAAUUAGGUCAAAUAUUAUUCAAUCACAAAACCCCGGUAAUGUGCGCCAGGGCAUUUGAUAACAAAGCCUCUGUGAAAGUUUGGUCAAAAUCUGUUGAGAAAUGUAGGAGAAGUUGCGCAUGGUAAAAAUUGUUCACUAUAUAAUCUGUAUGAGGAAAAAAAACAAAGGGCCAUAAUUAGCUCAAAUAUUAUCCAAUCACAAAACCCCGGUGAUGUGCGCCAGGGCAUUUGAUAACAAAGCUUCUGUGAAAGUUUGGUCAAAAUCUGUUGAGAAAUGUAGGAGAAGUUGCGCAUGGUAAAAAUUGUUCACUAUAUAAUCUGUAUAAGGAAAAAAAACAAAGGGCCAUAAUUAGGUCAAAUAUUAUACAAUCACAAAACCCUGACAAUAUGCCCUAAGGCACUUGAUGACAAAGCCUCUGUGAAAGUUUUGAUCAAAUUCCGUUG